CAAUGUUCUUUUUAUGCCCCACCUACGAUAGUAGAGGGGCAUUAUGUUUUCUGGUCUGUGCGUCCGUUCGUUCGUUCGUCCGUCCGUCUGUUCGUUCGUUCGUUCGUCUGUUCGUUCGUCCGUCUGUCCCGCUUUAGGUUAAAGUUUUUGGUCAAGGUAGUUUUUGAUGAAGUUGAAGUCCAAUCAACUUGAAACUUAGUACACAUGUUCCUUAUGAUAUGAUCUUUCUAAUUUUAAAGCCAAAUUAAACUUUUGACCCCAAUUUCACGGUCCACUGAACAUAGAAAAUGAAAGUGCAUGUUUC
rnacentral:lncRNA from 1 species